UACGAGGGGGGCAAGCGUUGUUCGGAAUUACUGGGCGUAAAGGGCGCGUAGGCGGCCUGCUAAGUCGAACGUGAAAUCCCUGGGCUCAACCCAGGAACUGCGUCCGAUACUGGUUGGCUUGAAUCCGGGAGAGGGAUGUGGAAUUCCAGGUGUAGCGGUGAAAUGCGUAGAUAUCUGGAGGAACACCGGUGGCGAAGGCGGCAUCCUGGACCGACACUGACGCUGAGGAGCGAAAGCCAGGGGAGCAAACGGGG
rnacentral:rRNA from 1 species